AACGAACGCUGGCGGCAUGCCUAACACAUGCAAGUCGAACGAGACCUUCGUGUCUAGUGGCGCACGGGUGCGUAACGCGUGGGAAUCUGCCCUUGGGUUCGGAAUAACAGUUGGAAACGACUGCUAAUACCGGAUGAUGACGUAAGUCCAAAGAUUUAUCGCCCAAGGAUGAGCCCGCGUAGGAUUAGCUAGUUGGUGAGGUAAAGGCUCACCAAGGCGACGAUCCUUAGCUGGUCUGAGAGGAUGAUCAGCCACACUGGGACUGAGACACGGCCCAGACUCCUACGGGAGGCAGCAGUGGGGAAUAUUGGACGAUGGGCGAAAGCCUGAUCCAGCAAUGCCGCGUGAGUGAUGAGGGCCUUAGGGUUGUAAAGCUCUUUUACCCGGGAUGAUAAUGACAGUACCGGGAGAAUAAGCUCCGGCUAACUCCGUG
rnacentral:rRNA from 1 species